rnacentral:rRNA from 1 species
AUUGAACGCUGGCGGCAGGCCUAACACAUGCAAGUCGAACGGUAACAGGGAUCAGCUUGCUGAUUCGCUGACGAGUGGCGGACGGGUGAGUAAUGUCUGGGAAACUGCCUGAUGGAGGGGGAUAACUACUGGAAACGGUAGCUAAUACCGCAUAACGUCUCAAGACCAAAGAGGGGGACCUUCGGGCCUCUUGCCAUCGGAUGUGCCCAGAUGGGAUGAGCUAGUAGGUGGGGUAACGGCUCACCUAGGCGACGAUCCCUAGCUGGUCUGAGAGGAUGACCAGCCACAUGGGAACUGAGACACGGUCAAGAGUCCUACGGGAGGCAGCAGUGGGGAAUAGUGCACAAUGGGGGCAAGCCUGAUGCAGCGAUGCCGCGUGUAUGAAGAAGGCCUUCGGGUUGUAAAGUACUUUCAGCGGGGAGGAAGGGAGUAAAGUUAAUACCUUUGCUCAUUGACGUUACCCGCAGAAGAAGCACCGGCUAACUCCGUG